rnacentral:rRNA from 1 species
GACGAACGCUGGCGGCGUGCUUAACACAUGCCAGUCGAACGGAAAGGCCCUGCUUUUGUGGGGUGCUCGAGUGGCGAACGGGUGAGUAACACGUGAGUAACCUGCCCUUGACUUUGGGAUAACUUCAGGAAACUGGGGCUAAUACCGGAUAGGAGCUCCUGCUGCAUGGUGGGGGUUGGAAAGUUUCGGCGGUUGGGGAUGGACUCGCGGCUUAUCAGCUUGUUGGUGGGGUAGUGGCUUACCAAGGCUUUGACGGGUAGCCGGCCUGAGAGGGUGACCGGCCACAUUGGGACUGAGAUACGGCCCAGACUCCUACGGGAGGCAGCAGUGGGGAAUAUUGUACAAUGGGCGGAAGCCUGAUGCAGCAACGCCGCGUGCAGGAUGACGGCCUUCGGGUUGUAAACCGCUUUCGCCUGUGACGAAGCGUGAGUGACGGUAAUGGGUAAAGAAGCACCGGCUAACUACGUG